AUAACAGUUGGAAACGACUGCUAAUACCGCAUAAGCGCACGGUAUCGCAUGAUACAGUGUGAAAAACUCCGGUGGUAUAAGAUGGACCCGCGUCUGAUUAGCUUGUUGGUGAGGUAACGGCCCACCAAGGCGACGAUCAGUAGCCGGCCUGAGAGGGUGAACGGCCACAUUGGGACUGAGACACGGCCCAAACUCCUACGGGAGGCAGCAGUGGGGAAUAUUGCACAAUGGGGGAAACCCUGAUGCAGCGACGCCGCGUGAGUGAUGAAGUAUUUCGGUAUGUAAAACUCUAUCAGCAGGGAAGAUAAUGACGGUACCUGACUAAGAAGCACCGGCUAAAUACGUGCCAGCGGCCGCGGUAAUACGUAUGGUGCAAGCGUUAUCCGGAUUUACUGGGUGUAAAGGGUGCGUAGGUGGUAUGGCAAGUCAGAAGUGAAAGGCUGGGGCUCAACCCCGGGACUGCUUUUGAAACUGUCAAACUAGAGUACAGGAGAGGAAAGCGGAAUUCCUAGUGUAGCGGUGAAAUGCGUAGAUAUUAGGAGGAACACCAGUGGCGAAGGCGGCUUUCUGGACUGAAACUGACACUGAGGCACGAAAGCGUGGGGAGCAAACAGGAUUAGAUACCCUGGUAGUCCACGCCGUAAAC
rnacentral:rRNA from 1 species